ensembl:snRNA U2 U2 spliceosomal RNA
AUUGCUUCUUGGCCUUUUGGCUAAGAUCAAGGGUAGUAUCUUUUCCUCUUUCACAACUCACAUCUCAGUUAAGAGCACCUUAU